GAUGAACGCUGGCGGUAUGCUUAACACAUGCAAGUCGAACGGACUCUUCGGAGUUAGUGGCGGACGGGUGAGUAACGCGUGAGAAUCUGGCUUUGGGUUCGGGACAACCACUGGAAACGGUGGCUAAUACCGGAUGUGCCGAGAGGUAAAAGAGAAAUUGCCUGAAGAUGAGCUCGCGUCUGAUUAGCUAGUUGGUGAGGUAAAGGCUCACCAAGGCAGCGAUCAGUAGCUGGUCUGAGAGGAUGACCAGCCACACUGGGACUGAGACACGGCCCAGACUCCUACGGGAGGCAGCAGUGGGGAAUUUUCCGCAAUGGGCGAAAGACUGACGGAGAAAUACCGCGUGAGGGAAGAAGGCUCUGGGGUUGUAAACCUCUUUUCUUAGGGAAGAACAAAAUGACGGUACCUAAGGAAUCAGCAUCGGCUAACUCCGUG
rnacentral:rRNA from 1 species